rnacentral:rRNA from 1 species
UUGCGAACGGGUGAGUAACACGUGGGUGAUCUGCCCUGCACUUCGUGAUAAGCCUGGGAAACUGGGUCUAAUACCGGAUAGGAGCCAUUUUUAGUGUGAUGGUUGGAAAGUUUUUUCGGUGUAGGAUGAGCUCGCGGCCUAUCAGCUUGUUGGUGGGGUAAUGGCCUACCAAGGCGGCGACGGGUAGCCGGCCUGAGAGGGUGGACGGCCACAUUGGGACUGAGAUACGGCCCAG